UAACGUCUCAUCUUGGUGCUGAAAAAC
rnacentral:piRNA from 1 species